rnacentral:rRNA from 1 species
ACUAAGCGUACACGGUGGAUGCCCUGGCAGUCAGAGGCGAUGAAGGACGUGCUAAUCUGCGAAAAGCGUCGGUAAGGUGAUAUGAACCGUUACAGCCGGCGAUGUCCGAAUGGGGAAACCCAGUGCAAUUCGUUGCACUAUCGUUAACUGAAUACAUAGGUUAACGAGGCGAACCGGGGGAACUGAAACAUCUAAGUACCCCGAGGAAAAGAAAUCAACCGAGAUUCCCCCAGUAGCGGCGAGCGAACGGGGAGCAGCCCGGAGUCUGAAUCAGCUUGUGUGUUAGUGGAAGCGUCUGGAAAGUCGCAGGGUACAGGGUGAUACUCCCGUACACUAAAACACACAGGCUGUGAACUCGAAGAGUAGGGCGGGACACGUGGUAUCCUGUCUGAAUAUGGGGGGACCAUCCUCCAAGGCUAAAUACUCCUGACUGACCGAUAGUGAACCAGUACCGUGAGGGAAAGGCGAAAAGAACCCCGGCGAGGGGAGUGAAAAAGAACCUGAAACCGUGUACGUACAAGCAGUAGGAGCCCACUAGUUGGGUGACUGCGUACCUUUUGUAUAAUGGGUCAGCGACUUAUAUUCUGUAGCAAGGUUAACCGUAUAGGGGAGCCGCAGGGAAACCGAGUCUUAACUGGGCGUUAAGUUGCAGGGUAUAGACCCGAAACCCGGUGAUCUAGCCAUGGGCAGGUUGAAGGUUGGGUAACACUAACUGGAGGACCGAACCGACUAAUGUUGAAAAAUUAGCGGAUGACUUGUGGCUGGGGGUGAAAGGCCAAUCAAACCGGGAGAUAGCUGGUUCUCCCCGAAAGCUAUUUAGGUAGCGCCUCGUGAACUCAUCUUCGGGGGUAGAGCACUGUUUCGGCUAGGGGGUCAUCCCGACUUACCAACCCGAUGCAAACUACGAAUACCGAAGAAUGUUAUCACGGGAGACACACGGCGGGUGCUAACGUCCGUCGUGAAGAGGGAAACAACCCAGACCGCCAGCUAAGGUCCCAAAGUCAUGGUUAAGUGGGAAACGAUGUGGGAAGGCCCAGACAGCCAGGAUGUUGGCUUAGAAGCAGCCAUCAUUUAAAGAAAGCGUAAUAGCUCACUGGUCGAGUCGGCCUGCGCGGAAGAUGUAACGGGGCUAAACCAUGCACCGAAGCUGCGGCAGCGACACUAUGUGUUGUUGGGUAGGGGAGCGUUCUGUAAGCCGUUGAAGGUGGCCUGUGAGGGUUGCUGGAGGUAUCAGAAGUGCGAAUGCUGACAUAAGUAACGAUAAUGCGGGUGAAAAACCCGCACGCCGGAAGACCAAGGGUUCCUGUCCAACGUUAAUCGGGGCAGGGUGAGUCGACCCCUAAGGCGAGGCCGAAAGGCGUAGUCGAUGGGAAACAGGUUAAUAUUCCUGUACUUGGUGUUACUGCGAAGGGGGGACGGAGAAGGCUAUGUUGGCCGGGCGACGGUUGUCCCGGUUUAAGCAUGUAGGCGGAUGUUCCAGGUAAAUCCGGAACGUUAUUAACGCUGAGGUGUGAUGACGAGGCACUACGGUGCUGAAGUGACAAAUGCCCUGCUUCCAGGAAAAGCCUCUAAGCAUCAGGUAACAUCAAAUCGUACCCCAAACCGACACAGGUGGUCAGGUAGAGAAUACCAAGGCGCUUGAGAGAACUCGGGUGAAGGAACUAGGCAAAAUGGUGCCGUAACUUCGGGAGAAGGCACGCUGAUGGUAGGUGAAGUGACUUGCUCAUGGAGCUGAAAUCAGUCGAAGAUACCAGCUGGCUGCAACUGUUUAUUAAAAACACAGCACUGUGCAAACACGAAAGUGGACGUAUACGGUGUGACGCCUGCCCGGUGCCGGAAGGUUAAUUGAUGGGGUUAUCCUCGCGGAGAAGCUCUUGAUCGAAGCCCCGGUAAACGGCGGCCGUAACUAUAACGGUCCUAAGGUAGCGAAAUUCCUUGUCGGGUAAGUUCCGACCUGCACGAAUGGCGUAAUGAUGGCCAGGCUGUCUCCACCCGAGACUCAGUGAAAUUGAACUCGCUGUGAAGAUGCAGUGUACCCGCGGCAAGACGGAAAGACCCCGUGAACCUUUACUAUAGCUUGACACUGAACACUGGUCCUUGAUGUGUAGGAUAGGUGGGAGGCUUUGAAGUGUGGACGCCAGUCUGCAUGGAGCCAUCCUUGAAAUACCACCCUUUAAUGGCUGGUGUUCUAACGUGGGCCCGUGAUCCGGGUUGCGGACAGUGUCUGGUGGGUAGUUUGACUGGGGCGGUCUCCUCCUAAAGAGUAACGGAGGAGCACGAAGGUCAGCUAAUCCUGGUCGGACAUCAGGAGGUUAGUGCAAUGGCAUAAGCUGGCUUGACUGCGAGCGUGACGGCGCGAGCAGGUGCGAAAGCAGGUCAUAGUGAUCCGGUGGUUCUGAAUGGAAGGGCCAUCGCUCAACGGAUAAAAGGUACUCCGGGGAUAACAGGCUGAUACCGCCCAAGAGUUCAUAUCGACGGCGGUGUUUGGCACCUCGAUGUCGGCUCAUCACAUCCUGGGGCUGAAGUAGGUCCCAAGGGUAUGGCUGUUCGCCAUUUAAAGUGGUACGCGAGCUGGGUUUAGAACGUCGUGAGACAGUUCGGUCCCUAUCUGCCGUGGGCGCUGGAGAAUUGAGGGGGGCUGCUCCUAGUACGAGAGGACCGGAGUGGACGCAUCACUGGUGUUCGGGUUGUCAUGCCAAUGGCAUUGCCCGGUAGCUAAAUGCGGAAGAGAUAAGUGCUGAAAGCAUCUAAGCACGAAACUUGCCCCGAGAUGAGUUCUCCCUGACUCCUUGAGAGUCCUGAAGGAACGUUGAAGACGACGACGUUGAUAGGCCGGGUGUGUAAGCGCAGCGAUGCGUUGAGCUAACCGGUACUAAUGAACCGUGAGGCUUAACC